UUUCUAAUUCAAAUGUCGACUUUUUGUUACAUGAAAAAAGAUACUUAUUUCAACCCCUCGACUAUAUUGAUACACUUAGUAUGUGGAGUUACUUGUCAAUAGCUGGCGAUGAAACUUUUAAACGUAAUGUCUUUAAGGGCUGAGAAGGUAAAAUUAGAAGUCUGCAGACUGCAACGUAAAUCGGUUUCAACACGUUAUGGCU
rnacentral:lncRNA from 1 species